rnacentral:rRNA from 1 species
GAUGAACGCUGGCGGCGUGCCUAAUACAUGCAAGUAGAACGCUGAAGGAAGGAGCUUGCUCUUUCCGGAUGAGUUGCGAACGGGUGAGUAACGCGUAGGUAACCUGCCUGGUAGCGGGGGAUAACUAUUGGAAACGAUAGCUAAUACCGCAUAACAGUAGAUGCUGCAUGAUAUCUACUUAAAAGGUGCAAUUGCACCACUACCAGAUGGACCUGCGUUGUAUUAGCUAGUUGGUGAGGUAACGGCUCACCAAGGCGACGAUACAUAGCCGACCUGAGAGGUGGAUCGGCCACACGGGAACUGGAAACCGGCCCGAACCCCUACGGGAGGCGGCAGUAGGGAAUCUUCGGAAAUGGACGGAAGUCUGACGAGCAACGCCGCGUGAGUGAAGAAGGUUUUCGGAUCGUAAAGCUCUGUUGUAAGAGAAGAACGAGUGUGAGAGUGGAAAGUUCACACUGUGACGGUAUCUUACCAGAAAGGGACGGCUAACUACGUG